GUGUUCACUCUAGCAGCACAUACACCGAAGUUAGAAUGAUACAGAGAAGAUUAGCAUGGCCCCUGUGCAAGGAUGACAUGCAAUUUGUAAAGCAUUCCAUAAAAAA
rnacentral:snRNA from 1 species